AUCAAAUCAGCCACAGUCAAACACAAGAACAUACACAUAAGCAGCCGGUGAAGAUCGCUUUGGAGUUUAGCAACUGUCAGCAAAUGAAAUGAAGAAUAACAAUGAAAACUCUUGACACAGCAGCUAACAAGGGCGAGGGGGAAUCCUUUAGAGCCCUCAAGAAAACAAAUUUGUGAAAAAGUAUAUCUGAUGUUGGGAUACCAGGAGAAAAGGGAUGGGAUGAGGUUCUACUAGAAAGUAAUUUCUUGCUGCUGCUGCUGCUGCUGAAGUCUCUGUCCAAAGUAAAUCUCCGCUGUACUUCAAACAGUGAUGGGUGAGUACCCAGAGGAGGACCUCCAAUGGUGGAGGCUUAAAUUACACAAUGUUGUAGAAUGGUCACAUCCACACCAUCCAUUUAAAGCAUGUGGAUUCUCUCCCACCCAAACCCUGGGAACUGUAGUUUGUUAAGGUUCUUGGGAGUUGUAGCUCUGUGGUUGGGUGAACUCCCCUUUUUUAUGAUUCUUUGGGGGAAGCCAUGUGCUUUAAAUGCAGAUGUGACCUUAGGAUAGGGUUACCAGACGUCCCUGGUUCCCGGGGACAGUCCCCGGAUUUACAAAUCUGUCCCUGGACAAAUUCCGUCCCCGGGAUGUCCCCAGAUUUGCAAAUCUGUCCCCGGGAAACGUGGCAGCGGCAGCCUCAGCAGCCCGGAGCCAGCCUGGUAGCGCAGUUGGCUCUGGCUGGCUUCAGGAGCUGCUUGCUGCUCGCUGCUCGCUGCCACCGCCACUGCUGAAGGGGAACUGGGGACAUCCGGUGGUACAGAUCUCCUGCCCCCUUCCCCCUUUGUUUUGACAGAUCGGGGGAGGCUCAGGAGUCUUGGGCAGGCGGGCGUUGCCCAAUUUUUUAAAAAAAACUCUGCGCAUGUAUUUUUCACAGGGUGCGAAAGAAGGGCUUUGCACCUUGCCUGGCAGAGAAACCGUGCUCUUUGCGCCCCUCCUGGGCAACAGCCACCCACCUGCAACUCCCAAGCCUACCCCAGUCUGUCAAAACAAAGGGCGAAGGUGGCAGGAGAUCAGGGAAGACUCAGGAGUCACAGGUGGGCUGUGCACCAUUUCCCAGUUUUUUAAAAACUCUGCGCAUUUAUGUUUCACAGGUGCGAAAGAAGGACUUUGCACCUUUAUACAAUAUGCAUGUGUGCUUGGGCCCAGGAUCUUUUGCCUCACCAUCUCCACUACUGACUCCCUGUUGCUACUCAGCUUCAAAAAAAAAGAAAAGAAAAAGGAGUCCCCAGAUUCAUUGAAAAAAAUCUGGUAACCAUACCUUAGGAGGCUGACUUACAGCAUAAUGCUCUCAUUCCACCUUUGGUCUGAUCCAUAACUUCAUCCCCAGUGCUUCCCCACCACCCACCCAGUUUCUUUCUCAGGAAUUAGAAUGCCAACUGGGUGUUCCAUAGCUACUUGCAAGGGCAUGACCCCAACUUAUUGACAGUUCAUGACCCAAACUCCUAAGUGCCCC